CGAGCUCUAAACUGCCGCGAAAAAACUGUGUAAAAUCUGAAUUAGUGUGUUUGAUAUUACUUCGUAAUUAACAAUCUAACGUUUCUUUAACGAUUUCUUUAACGGCUGUCAGGCAGCGAAAAUAUGAGUCGGACAAACGGAAAAGCAGAAGUUCGUUGGACUCAGCAGCAACAGCAGAAUCGUAGACAGAACUUCCUGAAGGCGGCACCCAUCCUCAAAAUACAAAACUAGAAGAUGGAGAAAGAAAGGUCCAGGUCCACAACAUGAGUGUUAAAAAACACAUCUACCCCUCUCCUAGAGACUAAAGAAGUGAAGCAUCUUUCGGGGCCCAGAGAGCGAGUGACUAAAACAUUUCAGGCUCUCUCUAGAAUGAAUAACAUCACAGUUUAGUCAUGAGUCUGAGCCGCGUAACCUAAGGCCAUCACAGACCUCUAAAUAAAGCCUCUCGCCCUACAACCCCAAAACACAAACGUGCUUUUACCUCUGAAUGCUUUCAAUAGUUGGUUUCACAUUGCGUAUCCAGAAC